AACGCGAAGAACCUUACCUGGGCUCGAACGGCUUCGGACAAUCCUUGGAAACAGGGACUUCCCGCAAGGACAAUCGUAGAGGUGCUGCAUGGCUGUCGUCAGCUCGUGUCGUGAGAUGUUGGGUUAAGUCCCGCAACGAGCGCAACCCUUGUCUGCUGUUGCCAUCAGGUUAUGCUGGGCACUCUGCAGAGACUGCCGGUGAUAAACCGGAGGAAGGUGGGGAUGACGUCAAGUCAGCACGGCCUUUAUGUCUGGGGCUACACACGUGCUACAAUGGCAGAUACAAACCGUCGCGAGACCGCAAGGUGGAGCUAAUCGGAGAAAGUCUGUCUCAGUUCGGAUAGCAGGCUGCAACUCGCCUGCUUGAAGUUGGAAUCGCUAGUAAUCGCGGAUCAGCACGCCGCGGUGAAUACGUUCCCGGGCCUUGUACACACCGAGACGUA
rnacentral:rRNA from 1 species